AGAGUUUGAUCCUGGCUCAGGAUGAACGCUAGCGACAGGCUUAACACAUGCAAGUCGAGGGGCAGCAGGGGAGUAGCAAUACUCCCGCUGGCGACCGGCGCACGGGUGAGUAACACGUAUGCAACCUGCCCUUGUCAGGGGGAUAAGCGGAAGAAAUUCCGUCUAAUACCGCAUAAUGCUGCGGGGAGACAUCUCCCUGCAGCCAAAGAUUUAUCGGACAAGGAUGGGCAUGCGGCGCAUUAGCUGGUUGGCGGGGUAACGGCCCACCAAGGCGACGAUGCGUAGGGGUUCUGAGAGGAAGGUCCCCCACACUGGUACUGAGACACGGACCAGACUCCUACGGGAGGCAGCAGUGAGGAAUAUUGGUCAAUGGCCGGGAGGCUGAACCAGCCAAGUCGCGUGAGGGAAGACGGUCCUAUGGAUUGUAAACCUCUUUUGUCAGGGAGCAAAAAACUGCCACGCGUGGCAGGAUGAGAGUACCUGAAGAAAAAGCAUCGGCUAACUCCGUGCCAGCAGCCGCGGUAAUACGGAGGAUGCGAGCGUUAUCCGGAUUUAUUGGGUUUAAAGGGUGCGUAGGCGGACAGUUAAGUCAGCGGUAAAAUUGAGAGGCUCAACCUCUUCCCGCCGUUGAAACUGAUUGUCUUGAGUGGGCGAGAAGUAUGCGGAAUGCGUGGUGUAGCGGUGAAAUGCAUAGAUAUCACGCAGAACUCCGAUUGCGAAGGCAGCAUACCGGCGCCCAACUGACGCUGAAGCACGAAAGCGUGGGUAUCGAACAGGAUUAGAUACCCUGGUAGUCCACGCAGUAAACGAUGAAUACUAAUUGUUCGGGUCAAAUGAGAUCUGAGUGAUACAGCGAAAGCGUUAAGUAUUCCACCUGGGGAGUACGCCGGCAACGGUGAAACUCAAAGGAAUUGACGGGGGCCCGCACAAGCGGAGGAACAUGUGGUUUAAUUCGAUGAUACGCGAGGAACCUUACCCGGGCUCAAACGACACAGGAAUGAUCUGAGAAAUCAGGCAGUCCUCCGGGACCUGUGUCGAGGUGCUGCAUGGUUGUCGUCAGCUCGUGCCGUGAGGUGUCGGCUUAAGUGCCAUAACGAGCGCAACCCCCAUCGACAGUUGCCAGCAGGUGAAGCUGGGCACUCUGUCGAGACUGCCGGCGCAAGCUGUGAGGAAGGCGGGAUGACGUCAAAUCAGCACGGCCCUUACGUCCGGGGCGACACACGUGUUACAAUGGCAGGUACAGCGGGAAGCCACCUGGCGACAGGGAGCGGAACCCGAAAGCCUGUCUCAGUUCGGAUUGGAGUCUGCAACUCGACUCCAUGAAGCUGGAUUCGCUAGUAAUCGCGCAUCAGCCACGGCGCGGUGAAUACGUUCCCGGGCCUUGUACACACCGCCCGUCAAGCCAUGGAAGUCGGGAGUGCCUGAAGUGCGCCCAACCAGCGCCCUAAGGUAAAACUGAUGACUGGGGCUAAGUCGUAACAAGGUAGCCGU
rnacentral:rRNA from 1 species